UUAGCCUACGGGAGGCAGCAGUGGGGAAUAUUGCACAAUGGGGGGAACCCUGAUGCAGCGACGCCGCGUGAGUGAAGAAGUAUUUCGGUAUGUAAAGCUCUAUCAGCAGGGAAAAAGAUGACGGUACCUGACUAAGAAGCCCCGGCUAACUACGUGCCAGCAGCCGCGGUAAUACGUAGGGGGCGAGCGUUAUCCGGAUUCACUGGGCGUAAAGGGAGCGCAGGCGACACGGCAAGUCCGGUGUGAAAGCCCGGGGCCCAACCCCGGGACUGCACUGGAAACUGCCGGGCUGGAGUGUCGGAGGG
rnacentral:rRNA from 1 species